CUGCUAGUUAAGCCAACUCCCAGUCCCUGAUGGAGGCUCAACGUGCAGUGGCUAUAAACAGCAGAUUCCCUGGUUUGUGUGUGCAGCUCAUUCCUUGUACGUGUUGCUCUAAGGGACCUUGAAGACAUCA
rnacentral:snoRNA from 1 species